UACGUAGGGUGCAAGCGUUGUCCGGAAUUAUUGGGCGUAAAGAGCUCGUAGGCGGUCUGUCGCGUCUGCUGUGAAAAUCAGGGCUCAACCCUGGACCUGCAGUGGGUACGGGCAGACUAGAGUGCGGUAGGGGAGAUCGGAAUUCCUGGUGUAGCGGUGAAAUGCGCAGAUAUCAGGAGGAACACCGGUGGCGAAGGCGGGUCUCUGGGCCGUAACUGACGCUGGAGGAGCGAAAGCGUGGGGAGCGAACAGG
rnacentral:rRNA from 1 species